GGGCAGGGCACUGCGGGGACCUUGCCGGCUCCAGGACCCGCCGGGUCCUCUAACGAAGUCCAGCCUUCAUGGCCGGCACACAGAGGUGGCGUUGAGGUGUGGAGUCUUGAAGACGCUGCCCAGGCUGAUGCCACCUCUGUGUCCCCAGGAUGCGUGGCGAUAGCAGGAGAGGCCCCUCCCUGACCCCCAACCGCCCCCAACGCAGAAGCUCCAGGAGGCUCCGGCCUGCUUGGGACGGCAUGAGGCCUCGUCUGCAGCAGCGUCGCAUGCAUGAGCGAGAUGUGCAAUGUCAGCUCCGGAAGCGACAGCUCGGCUGCCUCACUGCCUGACCUGCGCCCGCCACGGGAAGUCUUCCUUCUGCCUUCCCCGUCACACCUCCUCGGCAACUGUCCAGAGCCAGGGAGUGAGCUGCCUGGGAAGAAUGCAACGACAAAAAUACUUAGCCGCAUCCGGAACUUCCCUGGUGGCAGCUGGUCCCCGACCAUGGGCUUCCCCUGGCAACUGUUGUGUUGAAUGAAUUCCGAGUCUGACUCUGGCUCUGGCACGCCCCUGGGGGGUCUUGGAGAAGUCACCCAAACUCUCAGCCUCAGUUCCCACCCCUGUCAACUAGGGCUAAUAAUACCUCCCCAAAUGCCCCCUGGGAGUAUUAAAUAAUAUAAUGUC